AUCCCUCGACUCGUCCACACCUCCCCAAACCCCCACCCUUCUUAAGCCCAUUCUCUCCUCCUCACUUCCUUGUUCCGUCGCCUUGCCACUAUUGCACCACUGCCUCUGCCUCUCCCUCUAGUUUUCACGAUUUAAUUUUCUUGUUGAUUUUGGUUUCUUUGUUUCGAUUUUUUGAGCUGAGAGUGAGAGAUUGAUAACGAAGUUCAGGAAGCAGCUGAAGAAGUAGAUCGCGGAGUCGUUGCCGAAAUGGCUUCCUGUUGUACAAGGAGUUGAAGAAUCUAGUGUGGCUGAUAUCGACAGCUCUGCUGCUGUCGAACGGAGUGAGGGAGUUCAAUAAAGCAAAGGCAGAGUUUGUGUGUAUGACGAACAACGACAUCGACCAGUUCAACAACUUCUUCAUGGAGCAGGGGGAGGAUUUCGUGAUUCGGCACGAGGCUCUGGAAGAGAAGAUGAAGGAAAUGAGAGAGAGAUUGGGAAAACGGAAGUGAGGAUUCAGAAACAAAGUAUAAGGAAGAGAUGGCAAAGAUCAGAAAAGAUAUGGUUUGGUUUCCAUGGCGAAAUGGUCCUCUUAGUUAGUUACAGUAGCAUUAAUUACACUGGAAUUGAUGCUCCCACACAAAGCGAAAAUUGCUCUUGUGAAAAGAUCAGAUCAAGUGUGUCACUCUGUUUUAGCUUGGAAGGGCAUAAAGAAAGUAAUUAUGAACUUAUUACUGAUGGACUUAAAUGGCAAGCGUGUGAUUGGUCUUGCAUUAAUGUGUUCAGCCAAGCUUGGUGACUUAUGCAGAGGAACCAAAUUGAAGCUCCUCUGGAUAUAUAUUUAAGUUUGACUGUUACACAAAAACUGAAGUUCACAAUUGGGGAAGUAUCUUCAGAAAUGGGGUUAUGCUACUGAAGCCACAAAGGGAGAAGCGCAAAUUGGGUAGCCACAAUGGCAGGGCGUCUGACCUGAAUGUUACGGAGUUGAAAUUUCUAAUUAUCAAUAUAAAGCAUGUGGUGUUGUAUUUAUUUUUCUCACCCAAAAGUUUGGAUAUGAAAUUUAGGCUCUUGAUUUUUCGUUGUGAACUUUUUCCCCCAUAACUUUCAUUAAGUGUGUCUUAUUGUCGAUGAUGUAUUGUUCAUGUAAGUAUUAAUAUGCAUUUAAAUUUUA